rnacentral:rRNA from 1 species
CCUACGGGAGGCAGCAGUGGGGAAUAUUGGGCAAUGGAGGAAACUCUGACCCAGCGACGCCGCGUGCGGGAUGAAGGCCUUCGGGUUGUAAACCGCUUUCAGUAGGGAAGAAGCGAAAGUGACGGUACCUACAGAAGAAGCACCGGCUAACUAUGUGCCAGCAGCCGCGGUAAUACAUAGGGUGCAAGCGUUGUCCGGAAUUAUUGGGCGUAAAGAGCUCGUAGGUGGUUCGUCACGUCGGAUGUGAAAAUCUGGGGCUCAACCCCAGACCUGCAUUCGAUACGGGCGAUCUAGAGUGUGGUAGGGGAGACUGGAAUUCCUGGUGUAGCGGUGGAAUGCGCAGAUAUCAGGAGGAACACCAAUGGCGAAGGCAGGUCUCUGGGCCAUUACUGACACUGAGGAGCGAAAGCGUGGGGAGCGGAACAGGAUUAGAUACCCUGGUAGUCCACGCCGUAAACGGUGGGCACUAGUUGUGGGAACCUUCCACGGUUUCUGCGACGCAGCUACGCAUAGUAGCCCGCCGUCGGGAGGUACGANCGCAGAUAAACUACAAUAGAGUAGACGCGNGAGACGUGCCGACGACGACGACGAGGGAGGUAGG